AGUAUAAGCAAUUAUACCGCGAAACUGCGAAUGGCUCAUUAAAUCAGUUAUCGUUUAUUUGAUAGUACCUUACUACUUGGAUAACCGUGGUAAUUCUAGAGCUAAUACAUGCUAAAAAUCCCGACUCAUGAAGGGAUGUAUUUAUUAGAUUAAAAACCAAUGCCCUUCGGGGCUUCUUGGUGAUUCAUAAUAACUUCUCGAAUCGCAUGGCCUUGCGCCGGCGAUGGUUCAUUCAAAUUUCUGCCCUAUCAACUUUCGAUGGCAGGGUCUUGGCCUGCCAUGGUUACAACGGGUAACGGAGGGUUAGGGCUCGACCCCGGAGAAGGAGCCUGAGAAACGGCUACUACAUCCAAGGAAGGCAGCAGGCGCGCAAAUUACCCAAUCCCGACUCGGGGAGGUAGUGACAAUAAAUACUGAUACAGGGCUCUUUUGGGUCUUGUAAUUGGAAUGAGUACAAUUUAAAUCCCUUAACGAGGAACAAUUGGAGGGCAAGUCUGGUGCCAGCAGCCGCGGUAAUUCCAGCUCCAAUAGCGUAUAUUAAAGUUGUUGCAGUUAAAAAGCUCGUAGUUGAACCUUGGGCCUGGCUGGCCGGUCCGCCUCACCGCGUGCACUGGUUCGGCCGGGCCUUUCCCUCUGGGGAAUCUCAUGCCCUUCACUGGGUGUGCUGAGGAACCAGGACUUUUACUGUGAAAAAAUUAGAGUGUUCAAAGCAGGCCUAUGCUCGAAUACAUUAGCAUGGAAUAAUAGAAUAGGACGUGCGGUUCUAUUUUGUUGGUUUCUAGGACCGCCGUAAUGAUUAAUAGGGACAGUCGGGGGCAUCAGUAUUCAAUUGUCAGAGGUGAAAUUCUUGGAUUUAUUGAAGACUAACUACUGCGAAAGCAUUUGCCAAGGAUGUUUUCAUUAAUCAGGAACGAAAGUUAGGGGAUCGAAGACGAUCAGAUACCGUCGUAGUCUUAACCAUAAACUAUGCCGACUAGGGAUCGGACGAUGUUAUUUUUUGACUCGUUCGGCACCUUACGAGAAAUCAAAGUCUUUGGGU
rnacentral:rRNA from 1 species